UACGGGGGGGGCAAGCGUUGUUCGGAAUUACUGGGCGUAAAGGGCUCGUAGGCGGCCAACUAAGUCAGACGUGAAAUCCCUCGGCUUAACCGGGGAACUGCGUCUGAUACUGGAUGGCUUGAGUUUGGGAGAGGGAUGCGGAAUUCCAGGUGUAGCGGGUGAAAUGCGUAGAUAUCUGGAGGAACACCGGUGGCGAAGGCGGCAUCCUGGACCAACACUGACGCUGAUGAGCGAAAGCCAGGGGAGCAAACGGGG
rnacentral:rRNA from 1 species